rnacentral:rRNA from 1 species
UACAGAGGGGGCAAGCGUUAUUCGGAAUUAUUGGGCGUAAAGGGCGCGUAGGCGGCCUGGCAAGUGACGGGUGAAAUCCCUCGGCUUAACCGAGGAACUGCCUGUCAGACUGCUUGGCUUGAGACCGGGAGAGGUGAGUGGAAUUCCCAGUGUAGCGGUGAAAUGCGUAGAUUUUGGGAGGAACACCAGUGGCGAAGGCGGCUCACUGGACCGGUACUGACGCUGAGGCGCGAAAGCGUGGGGAGCAAACAGG